CUAUAACAACUACUUGGGCUUUUUCUACACAUUCCUCAGCUGAUUAUAAGUAACUUUUAUUCUCUUAUAUGUUUUUAAUGUCAUUCACUUCCACUCAUUAUUCACCCUGCUCGGGUGUCAUAUGUAACGUCUAGCACACACUUGAAGAUCACUGUUUACAUUUCUUUCACAGUUCUGACGGGUCUCCCCGGCGCCUGUUUGCGCAACCGUUGCUUGGCAACGGACACGUCAGCUAUGCGCCGCCCGUGUGACGUACCCGGAAGUCCCAGACACAGACGCCGGGAACACCUGCUCCUGCACAGCUUUUAAAAGGUCCAUCAAAAGAAGUGUGGAGCAGCAGAAGUCGGACUUCUGUAACACACCACCAAAAAAAACAUGUGGCAGCAAAGAAAGCAAGGUCUGAUGUCCAGGGCCAACCACAGCAGGCUACCCCGCCACGAAGAUUAUCGACAGUAUGUUCGGUCCCCCCACUCCAAAUUUUGGACACACCUCCAAGACGUGAACCACACUCCCCUCAUCUUGAUUCUUCUAGUCCUGGUAACAGCAUCCCUCCACAACAACAGCAACACAGUGACAUGGAUGAGACAAUCAUGUUAGAAAUGCAGCCAUUAAGCCAAGGAAUCAGACCCCCAGCACCUGUGAGUACACCACCACAGCAAAGCACACCACCACCACAACACAGCCCAACAACACCAGUAACACAAGGCCCUGAUCACGUGUUUUGGAACAUUUGGGCUAGACAGCAGGCCACUAAUGAAGAUUGCCUGCGUAGGCAGACACAAAUGUUUGCAAGCCUACCAUGUCACCUCAGAAGAAUAACCAGAAAUAUGAGUAGACAAAAUGAACAAACCACCAGAAUUGGCAAUACCAUGGAACUCAUGCGUGCAGACAUUACACAGGUCAUGGGCAACUUACAGCGCAUAAUGGAAGAACAGCACAGACUAAUGGAAGAACAGCACAGACAACAGCAAAGCGAUAUGAAUAUUUUUCAAAUCAAUCAAAAGAUAAAUGAAGGGGGCGUGGUUUGACUGAAGAAGAGGUCAGAUGUGUCUCUGCUGGCCUCCUCUCUCCAGUGUCCUUUACCCACAUAUUUUCAGUGCUCACCCCCAUAGUACCCUCUCUGGAGGCUGCCCUUCCCCCCCCUGUAGGUCUCCUCAGCCCGGCUGUGUCCGCCGCAGAGCCAGGGAGCAGUUUUUACUGCUCCCACAGGUUGCGGCCUAUACACUCCCGGAAGCCGGGGACUCGCGUACUCCCGGCGCCCGCGAUUCGAGCUCCACAGCGGGGACGCGGUGCCGGGAAGCGGCGCUGACCCCACACAAGCGCUCCGGACCACCCAGAAGCCUUCCCCUGACCCCCGGGGUGGACACCCCCUGGGGCAGCAGGUCGGGGAGACGCCUGGCAGCGCGGGACAGCGGUGGGCCUGCAGCCCAGGGAGACACGGCGGCCAUCUUCAUUCUUGCUGGAGGAGCUGGUCCUAAGGUAGAAGUGUGCCUGUAUACCUGUGGGGGUCUCUGAUUAGGGCUGCACCAGGACUGGUGGCCCUUUGGCACUGUUCUCCCCCUGUUCUUAUUCUGGGGCCCCUGUUGAGGGAUUUGUGCAUUUGCUUCGGUGGGGAGAAAUAGCCUUUUACUCAGCACCAUUAUCUUCUACUAUAACUGCCCCAUCUAGUGGCCUCUGGGUGUAAUAGCAUACAUUUCUCAUACAGUGUGACCGCAGAUAUCCCGGCACCCACCUAGAAGAUCGGCCCGAUGUCCCCAUGGUUGAAUGACCUCGAUACUCUAAUGUGACCGCUCUGAGAUACCUCCGCCUGCACCCGAAUGCUCCUAUGACAUGAUAUGACAACUCGACCUUUCUGUUGAUCCUUCCUCGAUUGAUAGUCUAGACACCUCUUGCCUCCAGUUCACCUACCUUUAUCGUUCAGCGUUGUAAUGCCUCCCAAGAAAUAUAAGGCCGCUAAAACUGUUUCCCAGGUGGCGUUCUUUAAACCCUCGCCUCAGGCCGCUAAAGCAAAGGAUGCACGGGAUGGCGCCUCUAAGUCUGCUGUCCCUGUGCCCUCACCACUUAGAGAUGCACCCGCCCCUGCCACUGCACGCGCCAGUUCCAUUGACGACAGUGCCUCGCUUACGGUGGGCGCAAUGAAGCAUCUCUUAACACAAUUUAAGGAUGAAGUCGCGGCAGAAUUUAGAGCGACUAUGAAGGAAUGCCAGAGAUCUAUUGACGUGAUUGGUGACCGCACCGAUCACCUAGAAACAAAAAUGGGUGAAGUGGUGUCGUUGCAUAACGACCUGACCUCUUCUCAUGAACUGCUCCAAAAUUAGGUCACGGCGCUCAGGGACAAACUCUCGGAUUUAGAGGACAGAUCGAGACGUAAUAACAUAAAGCUACGUGGUGUCCCGGAAGCUGUCGCUAAUAGCGCUUUAAACGAUUUUGCAAUUGACCUCUUCAGCAAACUCCUUCCUCCGUACCGCUCAGUGGACUUUCUAAUCGACCGUAUCCACAGGCUCCCUAAAGCCAGGAACGCUCCUGAUGGUGUCCCCCGUGAUGUCCUUAUGAGGUUACAUUAUUUCCACGUGAAGGAGGCAAUCUUGAAAGCUGCUAGACCCUCGGAUGCUGCGUCAGAGGCUUUGGGCUCGCUUCGGAUAUUUGGAGACUUGUCCCCUGCUACUUUGGCGAAACGGCGCUCUCUUUACCCCAUCACAUCAGUGCUACGUAAAGAGAACAUUCUAUACAGAUGGGGAUUUCCUACGAAGUUGCUUAUUUCUCGAGAAGGUUCUACUGUUGUCAUAACGAACGUCGAGGAGGGUAAAAAGAUCCUAGCAUCAUGGAACUCUGCAAGCUCUUCUACGCACACCUCUCCCGAGCGGGCCUUCAGCGGGACUGGGGCUCAUCGGCUGCAGAACUUUGAGUAUUGUCUGAUUUGCUACACUUGCAUUGAUUUCAUGUUUCUCUAGUCGGUUUGUCAUGUCGUAUUUCCUACGCUGCACUAGUUCCUUGGCGAUUGUUUGCUGAGGGUGUUUAUGUGAUAUUUUAGUGCUGUUAGAUUGUUUUUCAGUGUUGCCUCCUCACCGCCGGUUAAUUGUUUACUGUCUGUCUCUGCUGCCCCGACUGCCGCCCACAUUUCCUUGUUGGCUGAGAAUUCUUCCUGAGUUCCCUUUAAUCCCGGUGGCUGUCGGGUGACCAGAGAUGAGGUGCCGAGGAACUACAUUUAGUUUAAUUUUGGUUCGGGUGCGGGUGGAUUGACCACUACCCCCCACAGUUUUACUCUGAGUCGCCAUGGUUAGGCAUCCAAAUGUGCCCCCUCGAGGGGUUAAUGUUCUGUUUCCUCUUCCUGUUAUCCUCCAUCUUUUUGUCCUUUCUUUCUCUUCUCCUCUCCUUUUGUCCGGAAAUGUUACACACACUUUCUACUUGCCAGUUGGUUGUUGAUAGCUAUGCAAUUCCCGAUAGUUUUACAAUAUGGUUAACAUUGUUUCUAUAAAUGCAAAGGGUCUUAAUUCCCCACAUAAGAGGAGAUUAGCACUUAAUUAUUUCCAUAAACUUAAAGCUCAAAUCAUAGCCGUUCAGGAGACUCAUUUUACUAAAUCUGCCCCUCCAAGGUUUACUAAUGGGAGAUUUCCCCAUUGUUAUUUGGCUAACGGGCCAGCAAAGAAGGCAGGGGUGGCAAUCUUGAUAUCUCAGCAUUGCGCGUUCUCCCUCACUUCACAAUACUGCGACCCUGAGGGGAGAAUUCUAAUUUUGGUUGGUACUCUCGAAAAUAAAGAGGUGACAUUAGUUUCUUGCUAUGCCCCUAACACCAAGCAACUAGCAUUUUGCAGGAAACUCUGCGCUAAAGUGCAGCAAUUGGCCAAGGGCGCUUUACUCUUAAUGGGGGACUUUAACUUGACCCUGGACCCUUUAGUUGAUAAUUCUGGCAGCGGCCCCCGCUCUCCGGUCAGCUCCAUAGGAAUGCAAAGGGCUUUAGCCAGCUACUGGCGGAAUAUGAUCUUUUAGACCUCUGGCGCGUUAAGCACCCAAUGGACAUAGAUUACACAUUUUAUUCCCCAGUGCAUGCAUCUUAUUCUAGAAUAGAUCUAGCGUUAGCAGAUAAGUGGACUCUACAGUCCAUCCGUAAAAUCUCCAUUCUCCCCAUGUCCUGGUCGGAUCACUCCCCACUAUUCAUCGAAUGGGAUAUAAAUAGUAGAAAGGUUACCCCGGCCCCCUGGCGUUUAGGUAAACUCAGUCUUCUUCAGCCGGAGACCACGCAGGCGAUCCAAACCACCUUGGAUUAUUAUCUUUCUGAGAACUCUCCUCAGGAGACAUCUAUCUUCACAUUCUGGUGCGCCCUCAAAGCAGUAACACGAGGGACAGUGAUCCAAACAGCGGCUAAACUUAAAAGGGCAUAUCGUAAAAAAUUUGAACAAGCUGAGCUUACAGUCGCUUCCCUGGAGAGUUCCCACAAGGCUCAUCCACACGAUAAAGCCCUUCUAAAGUCAUUGAAGGAAGCAAGGGAGGCGGUAAAUGUUUUUUAUUUAGCGGAAGUCCAACGCAACCUACAUAGACUGAAGCAAAAAUUUUAUGUUUAUGGUAACCGGGCUGGUAGACUACUGGCGAGGAAGCUGAAGGGUAGGAAAGCCAAAGAAAAAAUUCAUAUAGUCCACUCGGACAGGGGUAAGAGAGUCUACGAUCCUGACGAAAUUGCAAAUGUCUUUGCAUCCUAUUACUCUAAAUUAUACAACUUGAGGGGGAUUCUUCUACUUUUCAACCUACAGGCAUAGAUGUUCAGAACUUUCUGAGCAACUUUCCUCUCCCCUCGCUGUCGGCGGAGUCUUGUAGCUCUCUUAAUGCACCUUGGACUUUAGCCGAAGUCGAAAAGGCUAUUGACUCCCUUCCAGCGGAUAAGGCCCCGGGACCCGAUGGUUAUCCUUCUGGUUUCUAUAAGUCCUUUAAGGAGAGUUAGGUCCCGGUGCUCUUGUCUGUGUUUAAUGAAGCCUCAGAGGCUGGUCACUUCCCCAAAGAGAUGCUGGAAGCUCAAAUCAUCACCAUUCCCAAACCGGGGAAAAACCCUACCUCAGUUCAAAAUUUUAGACCAAUUGCUUUAUUAAAUACUGAUCUAAAAAUGUAUGCCAAAUUAAUUGCUAACCGUAUCAGCCCCCUUCUCCCUUCUCUUAUCAACCCUGAUCAAGUGGGCUUCGUCUUAAACCGACAGGCCCCGGAUAAUAUGCGUAGGGUGAUUAAUGUUAUUGAGUAUUCUGCCUGUAGAGGAGAACCCCUCCUAGUUUUGUCUCUGGACGCCGAAAAGGCGUUCGAUAGAUUGAAUUGGGAUUUUAUGAGAUUAACUCUGGACAAAUUUGGCUUCUCUGGGAGGAUCUUAGACUCUAUACUGGCUCUCUAUUCCGCACCCAGUGCGCGGGUCUUUGUUAACGGAUGCCUUUCUUCAUCCUUCAAUAUUUCUAAUGGCACUCGUCAGGGCUGCCCACUAUCUCCCCUUAUUUUUGCAUUGGCGAUAGAACCCUUGGCUGCUUGCAUUAGAUCCCGGGACUCGAUUAGUGGCCCUGUUAUAGGGGGAAUUUCUCACAAAAUUAGCUUGUUUGCGGACGAUAUUCUGCUAUGUCUUUCUGACCCUGAGGCUUCCUUGCCAGCUCUUCAUGACGUCCUUCAAGGCUACUCGGAUGUUUCUUUUUAUAAAUUAAAUACUAAUAAAACUGAAGCCCUCCCACUCAAUAUAUCUCCGACUGUGGUCUCUAGGUUGAAGGAUUCGUACAAAUAUGCCUGGAAGUCCUGCUCUUUGAGAUAUCUAGGGAUUAACUUAACCAGAGAAGAUAAUUUGAUUGAGUGUAACUAUGCCCCGUUAUUAAAAGCGUUUACAGACUAAACGCGACCAGGUGUUCAAUUGCCCUUCAAUGGAAACAGAGGGAGCCCCCCCAUAUUAAGCAGGUCAUCAACAAAGUAUGGUACCUUUUGGUACUAACGCCCUGCACUAGGUUGGCGGAACACGGGGGCGCACUGGCGGUGCCUCCACCCCUGUCUUUUCCUCCCCCCACUCUGUUCCCUCCCCAUCUUUGUCUGUCUCCCCUUCUUUCUCUUCAUGCUCUCUCUCUCUUCUGUAUUAUCCUUUAUAUUGCUAUAGUUAUGAGUCUAAUCCCCGGCUCCCACCCGUCUGAUUAGCCCCCAUUCACCCUUUGACAUGAAUCAUCGCUGUUUCUCGUUCUUACAAAUGUAUGGUUAAUGGCUCUUAUUUGGAUUAUUUCUCCACAUGUUGGGAACCGCUUGUUCUUUAUAUUAAGGUUAAAUCUCUGCCUCUGAUAGUAUAUUGUGACAAGUAGCAGCUCACCCCACGUGAGGUGGGGAGCUGUUGUGACAUUUAUAACCUGAAAAUUAAAAUAAACAAUUUAAAAAAAAAAGCGUUUACAGAGCUGACUGGGGAGUGGAUGUUACAGGAGGUGUCCUGGCUGGGUAGAAUUGCUGCUGCCAAGAUGGUCUUAUUGCCGAAAAUUAAUGUACCUGUUUCGCGCCAUACCAAGGCCCCUUCCCAAACGCCUCUAUAAUAGAUUUAAUCAGGUCCUGAUCAGAUAUGUGUGGGGUGGCUCUAGACCGAAAAUUGCUAAAAAAAUUCUUAUUCUGCCCAAACUGUCUGGUGGGGUAGCUUUCCCAGAUAUAGAAAAGUACCAUGCUGCAUGUCUGAUAAGUCAGUCUAGAGACUGGUUUGAUACCUCGAGUCGGAAACCUUGGGUUAUUCUGGAAGCUUCUUGUCUGGACGCUGUUUCUCUCCCUGAUUUGUUUUGGUUACCACUGUCUGCUGCUCGAAGUAGGUCCGGAUCCUGCAAGUCUAUUAAAACGACCCUAGAUUCAUGGCAUAAACUAGUACUCUCUUCGGGAGAGAUUAAUUUACCUGCCCCCUGCCUGUCUUUAACUGCUCUUAUGUCAUUGAUUCCUAAUAUUUCACUAGGGGAUUGGAUUCGAAAAGGGCUCUCCACUGUGGGCGAUUUAUUUGUGGGAGACGUCUUGAUGUCCUUCUCUCAAUUGCAGGAGAGAUUUGGGAUUUGGACUCAAGACUUUUUCAAAUAUCUACAGGUGAGAAGUUGGUUACACUCCCUUACUCCCUCACAUAUCCACAAACCUUCUCUUCCGGCUUAUAUUAAAAGCCGAUUGGAGACGUCCUCGCAUAAAUAUGGGAUUACGUGGUGGUAUUAAUUUCAAUUGACAAAUGGCACUCAGACAAAAUUAAAAGCUCAGACUUUAUGGGAAAGAGAUUUGAAUAGGUCCUUUACUGAUGCAGAUUGGGAUAGUAUAUUUAGAUCUUGUUUUAAAAUCUCCAAAUGUGUUAACCACUCCGAAAUGUUCUACAAGCUUAUACAGAGGGCCUACUUCACCCCUGAAAGACAACACAGAAUCUGGCCUUCACAAUCUAAAACAUGUUGGAGGAAAUGCGGCUCUACGGGGGAUAUCUUCCAUAUAUUCUGGGCUUGCCCUCGUAUACAACCACUUUGGAGAGAGGUGUUAAAUAUGGCAUGGUGUUAGGGCUCAGCAUCCCCCUGGACCCAGCUUUAGCGCUAUUUCAUUUGUACGUGGAUCGCCUCUCCGUAGGUGACCGCUACGUCUUGGGGCAUAUCUUGAUAGCCACUAAAGCAGCUAUAACACAAUUGUGGAAAUCUGAGAAUAUUCCUACCUUAGCGCUUAUUCAAAAUAAGAUUCACAAACAUUUCAUCUUCGAAACAGCGGAGGCUAAUUAUUCUUCCUCGGCUAACUCUAUCCACUUGAAGUGGUUAGGAUGGUCCGAUUAUAGGAGUAGAGAAGGUAGGCUAACAGUUUAUAGCUCUCCUAUUGAUAUGUCUGUGCUUUGCCCUACCUAGAUUGACCUUUACAAGAAUGCUGUGAUAUCAGAUAGUUUCUAUGUAUAUUGUAUUUUAGUCUUUAUUGCUUUUUUUUUUGUCCUUCUCAUGUCUUUUCUCAGUGUUUUCUCCUUUACAAGUAUCUGAACACCUAAUGUAGCCAAUUGUAUAUUCAUCCGACUGUGCGUUGAUUGUACUUUGUAUAUGGUAACCAUUCCGGACUUCCCCUGUGUUUCCCUUAUCUCUUUUUUCUGUUCCCCAU